UACGUAGGUGGCAAGCGUUGUCCGGAUUUAUUGGGUGUAAAGGGCGUGUAGGCGGGACUGCAAGUCAGAUGUGAAAACCACGGGCUCAACCUGUGGCCUGCAUUUGAAACUGUAGUUCUUGAGUACUGGAGAGGCAGACGGAAUUCCUAGUGUAGCGGUGAAAUGCGUAGAUAUUAGGAGGAACACCAGUGGCGAAGGCGGUCUGCUGGACAGCAACUGACGCUGAGGCGCGAAAGCGCGGGGAGCAAACA
rnacentral:rRNA from 1 species